CUUUCUGCACAACAACACGGCUGAAGGACGGCUUGGUGGAGGCAGACUCCGUUUCCUAAGGGCUUAUCCCAAGUUAGAGUUCAGAGGGAAGGGAAUAGAACGCGACUUGUCCACCAAACAAAAUAUGCGUGUUACUACAGUUGUAUGUAGUGGUCAGGCAAAAAGAAAAUCAGAACUUCCAAAGCUGGAGUGUCAGGUGGUUGUGAACUACUCAACCUGGUUCCUGGGAACCAAACUCAGGUCCUCCGCCAAAGGAGCACAUGCACUUAGCCACUGAGUCAUCUCUGAAGUCCCAGAAACCUCUGAAUGCCCAGGUGACAAGACCAAGGCUGAGAGACUAGGAAAGGGCUAAGAAUCUGAGUCACUGGCUGAGCAAACUACAGGUCAAUGGUGGACCUUCUCAAAAGCAAUACAUAAAUGAUCGAGGAACAAAAGCAUCACAUCAUCAACUUUUGCCCUCCACAACUGCCUACAGAGUUGAUCAGCCCAGCCAUUCUUUCCAUUUAUCUUCUGCAAUCAAGAGAAACUCUUCUGGACAAAAAGAUGUCCUCUGCAGAUGGCACCAGUCAAAAGAACCCAGUAAACACCAAACCUUGGUCUGCAGCUCAUCACCAAACUGGUAUUUUUAUUGCUAAGGAAGACUGGAAAAAUUACAGCGCUAAUGAGUCCCUACCUGUAUAUUCUCCUCGUUCUGCAUCUAUUAAGUGAUUUUCAACGAUGUUCUUUGUCAUUGUCAUUAAAACAAUAUUUAUGCAA
rnacentral:lncRNA from 1 species